rnacentral:rRNA from 1 species
UUAAGCGACUAAGCGUACACGGUGGAUGCCCUGGCAGUCAGAGGCGAUGAAGGACGUGCUAAUCUGCGAUAAGCGUCGGUAAGGUGAUAUGAACCGUUAUAACCGGCGAUUUCCGAAUGGGGAAACCCAGUGUGAUUUGUCACACUAUCAUUAACUGAAUCCAUAGGUUAAUGAGGCGAACCGGGGGAACUGAAACAUCUAAGUACCCCGAGGAAAAGAAAUCAACCGAGAUUCCCCCAGUAGCGGCGAGCGAACGGGGAGGAGCCCAGAGCCUGAAUCAGUGUGUGUGUUAGUGGAAGCGUCUGGAAAGGCGCGCGAUACAGGGUGACAGCCCCGUACACAAAAAUGCACAUGCUGUGAGCUCGAUGAGUAGGGCGGGACACGUGGUAUCCUGUCUGAAUAUGGGGGGACCAUCCUCCAAGGCUAAAUACUCCUGACUGACCGAUAGUGAACCAGUACCGUGAGGGAAAGGCGAAAAGAACCCCGGCGAGGGGAGUGAAAAAGAACCUGAAACCGUGUACGUACAAGCAGUGGGAGCACGCUUCGGCGUGUGACUGCGUACCUUUUGUAUAAUGGGUCAGCGACUUAUAUUCUGUAGCAAGGUUAACCGAAUAGGGGAGCCGAAGGGAAACCGAGUCUUAACUGGGCGUUAAGUUGCAGGGUAUAGACCCGAAACCCGGUGAUCUAGCCAUGGGCAGGUUGAAGGUUGGGUAACACUAACUGGAGGACCGAACCGACUAAUGUUGAAAAAUUAGCGGAUGACUUGUGGCUGGGGGGUGAAAGGCCAAUCAAACCGGGAGAUAGCUGGUUCUCCCCGAAAGCUAUUUAGGUAGCGCCUCGUGAAUUCAUCUCCGGGGGUAGAGCACUGUUUCGGCAAGGGGGUCAUCCCGACUUACCAACCCGAUGCAAACUGCGAAUACCGGAGAAUGUUAUCACGGGAGACACACGGCGGGUGCUAACGUCCGUCGUGAAGAGGGAAACAACCCAGACCGCCAGCUAAGGUCCCAAAGUCAUGGUUAAGUGGGAAACGAUGUGGGAAGGCCCAGACAGCCAGGAUGUUGGCUUAGAAGCAGCCAUCAUUUAAAGAAAGCGUAAUAGCUCACUGGUCGAGUCGGCCUGCGCGGAAGAUGUAACGGGGCUAAACCAUGCACCGAAGCUGCGGCAGCGACACUAUGUGUUGUUGGGUAGGGGAGCGUUCUGUAAGCCUGUGAAGGUGGCCUGUGAGGGUUGCUGGAGGUAUCAGAAGUGCGAAUGCUGACAUAAGUAACGAUAAAGCGGGUGAAAAGCCCGCUCGCCGGAAGACCAAGGGUUCCUGUCCAACGUUAAUCGGGGCAGGGUGAGUCGACCCCUAAGGCGAGGCCGAAAGGCGUAGUCGAUGGGAAACAGGUUAAUAUUCCUGUACUUGGUGUUACUGCGAAGGGGGGACGGAGAAGGCUAUGUUGGCCGGGCGACGGUUGUCCCGGUUUAAGCGUGUAGGCUGAUUUUCCAGGCAAAUCCGGAAAAUCAAGGCUGAGGCGUGAUGACGAGGCACUACGGUGCUGAAGCAACAAAUGCCCUGCUUCCAGGAAAAGCCUCUAAGCAUCAGGUAACAUCAAAUCGUACCCCAAACCGACACAGGUGGUCAGGUAGAGAAUACCAAGGCGCUUGAGAGAACUCGGGUGAAGGAACUAGGCAAAAUGGUGCCGUAACUUCGGGAGAAGGCACGCUGAUAUGUAGGUGAAGCGACUUGCUCGUGGAGCUGAAAUCAGUCGAAGAUACCAGCUGGCUGCAACUGUUUAUUAAAAACACAGCACUGUGCAAACACGAAAGUGGACGUAUACGGUGUGACGCCUGCCCGGUGCCGGAAGGUUAAUUGAUGGGGUUAGCGGUAACGCGAAGCUCUUGAUCGAAGCCCCGGUAAACGGCGGCCGUAACUAUAACGGUCCUAAGGUAGCGAAAUUCCUUGUCGGGUAAGUUCCGACCUGCACGAAUGGCGUAAUGAUGGCCAGGCUGUCUCCACCCGAGACUCAGUGAAAUUGAACUCGCUGUGAAGAUGCAGUGUACCCGCGGCAAGACGGAAAGACCCCGUGAACCUUUACUAUAGCUUGACACUGAACAUUGAGCCUUGAUGUGUAGGAUAGGUGGGAGGCUUUGAAGUGUGGACGCCAGUCUGCAUGGAGCCGACCUUGAAAUACCACCCUUUAAUGUUUGAUGUUCUAACGUUGACCCGUGAUCCGGGUUGCGGACAGUGUCUGGUGGGUAGUUUGACUGGGGCGGUCUCCUCCUAAAGAGUAACGGAGGAGCACGAAGGUUGGCUAAUCCUGGUCGGACAUCAGGAGGUUAGUGCAAUGGCAUAAGCCAGCUUGACUGCGAGCGUGACGGCGCGAGCAGGUGCGAAAGCAGGUCAUAGUGAUCCGGUGGUUCUGAAUGGAAGGGCCAUCGCUCAACGGAUAAAAGGUACUCCGGGGAUAACAGGCUGAUACCGCCCAAGAGUUCAUAUCGACGGCGGUGUUUGGCACCUCGAUGUCGGCUCAUCACAUCCUGGGGCUGAAGUAGGUCCCAAGGGUAUGGCUGUUCGCCAUUUAAAGUGGUACGCGAGCUGGGUUUAGAACGUCGUGAGACAGUUCGGUCCCUAUCUGCCGUGGGCGCUGGAGAACUGAGGGGGGCUGCUCCUAGUACGAGAGGACCGGAGUGGACGCAUCACUGGUGUUCGGGUUGUCAUGCCAAUGGCACUGCCCGGUAGCUAAAUGCGGAAGAGAUAAGUGCUGAAAGCAUCUAAGCACGAAACUUGCCCCGAGAUGAGUUCUCCCUGACUCCUUGAGAGUCCUGAAGGAACGUUGAAGACGACGACGUUGAUAGGCCGGGUGUGUAAGCGCAGCGAUGCGUUGAGCUAACCGGUACUAAUGAACCGUGAGGCUUAACCU